rnacentral:rRNA from 1 species
UGGGAAACUGCCUGAUGGAGGGGGAUAACUACUGGAAACGGUAGCUAAUACCGCAUAACGUCGCAAGACCAAAGAGGGGGACCUUCGGGCCUCUUGCCAUCAGAUGUGCCCAGAUGGGAUUAGCUAGUAGGUGGGGUAAUGGCUCACCUAGGCGACGAUCCCUAGCUGGUCUGAGAGGAUGACCAGCCACACUGGAACUGAGACACGGUCCAGACUCCUACGGGAGGCAGCAGUGGGGAAUAUUGCACAAUGGGCGCAAGCCUGAUGCAGCCAUGCCGCGUGUGUGAAGAAGGCCUUCGGGUUGUAAAGCACUUUCAGCGAGGAGGAAGGUGGUGAGCUUAAUACGUUCAUCAAUUGACGUUACUCGCAGAAGAAGCACCGGCUAACUCCGUGCCAGCAGCCGCGGUAAUACGGAGGGUGCAAGCGUUAAUCGGAAUUACUGGGCGUAAAGCGCACGCAGGCGGUUUGUUAAGUCAGAUGUGAAAUCCCCGGGCUCAACCUGGGAACUGCAUUUGAAACUGGCAAGCUAGAGUCUCGUAGAGGGGGGUAGAAUUCCAGGUGUAGCGGUGAAAUGCGUAGAGAUCUGGAGGAAUACCGGUGGCGAAGGCGGCCCCCUUGGACGAAGACUGACGCUCAGGUGCGAAAGCGUGGGGG